UCGGAUUGUAGUCUGCAACCCGACUACAUGAAGCUGGAAUCGCUAGUAAUCGCGAAUCAGAAUGUCGCGGUGAAUACGUUCCCGGGUCUUGUACACACCGCCCGUCACACCAUGGGAGUCGGAAAUGCCCGAAGUCAGUGACCUAACCGAAAGGGAGGAGCUGCCGAAGGUGGAGCCGGUAACUGGGGUGAAGUCGUAACAAGGUAAC
rnacentral:rRNA from 1 species